CACUAUGCUUAGCCCUAAACAUUGGUAACGCCCCACACCCGUUACUCGCCCGGAAACUACGAGCAUCAGCUUAAAACCCAAAGGACUUGGCGGUGCUUUAGAUCCACCUAGAGGAGCCUGUUCUAGAACCGAUACCCCCCGUUAAACCUCACCCCUCCUUGUUACUUCCGUCUAUAUACCGCCGUCGUCAGCCUACCCUGUGAAGGUCUAAUAGUAAGCAAAAUUGGCACAGCCCAGAACGUCAGGUCGAGGUGUAGCAUAUGGAAGGGGAAGAAAUGGGCUACAUUCUCUAAUCUCAGAGAACACGCACGACAUAAUGAAAACAUAUGUCACAAAGGAGGAUUUAGUAGUAAGCAGGAAAUAGAGAGUUCCGCUGAAAUAGGCCCUUAAGCGCGCACACACCGCCCGUCACUCUCCCCAAGCCUACAUAAACCCAAAUAACCUAAACUCUUCUACUGCAAAGGGGAGGCAAGUCGUAA
rnacentral:rRNA from 1 species